UACGUAGGGGGCAAGCGUUGUCCGGAUUUAUUGGGCGUAAAGAGUGCGUAGGCGGCUUGACAGGUCUGCUGUGAAAACUCGAGGCUCAACCUCGAGAUGUCGGCGGAAACUGUCUGGCUAGAGUCCGGAAGAGGAGAGUGGAAUUCCUGGUGUAGCGGUGAAAUGCGCAGAUAUCAGGAAGAACACCUAUGGCGAAGGCGGUUCUCUGGGCAUGUCCUGACGCUGAGGAGCGAAAGUGUGGGGAGCGAACAGG
rnacentral:rRNA from 1 species